GAUGAACGCUGGCGGCGUGCUUAACACAUGCAAGUCGAACGGAAAGGCCCAAGCUUGCUUGGGUACUCGAGUGGCGAACGGGUGAGUAACACGUGGGUGAUCUGCCCCGUACUUCGGGAUAAGCCUGGGAAACUGGGUCUAAUACCGGAUAGGACCACUUCUUGGAGGUUGUGGUGGAAAGUUUUUUCGGUGUGGGAUGAGCUCGCGGCCUAUCAGCUUGUUGGUGGGGUAAUGGCCUACCAAGGCGUCGACGGGUAGCCGGCCUGAGAGGGUGUACGGCCACAUUGGGACUGAGAUACGGCCCAGACUCCUACGGGAGGCAGCAGUGGGGAAUAUUGCACAAUGGGCGCAAGCCUGAUGCAGCGACGCCGCGUGGGGGAUGACGGCCUUCGGGUUGUAAACUCCUUUCGCUGGGGACGAAGCGCAAGUGACGGUACCUAGAGAAGAAGCACCGGCUAACUACGUG
rnacentral:rRNA from 1 species